rnacentral:rRNA from 1 species
GGACUACCGGGGUAUCUAAUCCCGUUUGCUCCCCUGGCUUUCGCGCCUCAGCGUCAGAAAGGGUCCAGCACCUCGCCUUCGCCACCGGAGUUCCUAGCGAUAUCAACGCAUUUCACCGCUCCACCGCUAGUUCCAGAUGCCCCUACCCUCCUCGAGGACGGCAGUAUCCGCGGCAAUUCCCCGGUUAAGCCGGGGGAUUUCACCACAGACUUGCCGCCCCGCCUACGCGCCCUUUAAGCCCAGUGAUUCCGAACAACGUUCGCACGGUUCGUCUUACCGCGGCUGCUGGCAC